rnacentral:rRNA from 1 species
CCUACGGGAGGCAGCAGUGAGGAAUAUUGGUCAAUGGACGAGAGUCUGAACCAGCCAAGUAGCGUGAAGGAUGACUGCCCUAUGGGUUGUAAACUUCUUUUAUAUGGGAAUAAAAUGUUCCACGUGUGGGAUUUUGUAUGUACCAUAUGAAUAAGGAUCGGCUAACUCCGUGCCAGCAGCCGCGGUAAUACGGAGGAUCCGAGCGUUAUCCGGAUUUAUUGGGUUUAAAGGGAGCGUAGGUGGAUUGUUAAGUCAGUUGUGAAAGUUUGCGGCUCAACCGUAAAAUUGCAGUUGAAACUGGCAGUCUUGAGUACAGUAGAGGUGGGCGGAAUUCGUGGUGUAGCGGUGAAAUGCUUAGAUAUCACUAAGAACUCCGAUUGCGAAGGCAGUUCACUGGACUGCAACUGACACUGAGGCUCGAAAGUGUGGGUAUCAAACAGGAUUAGAUACCCCAGUAGUC